rnacentral:rRNA from 1 species
UUAACGCUGAGGUGUGAUGACGAGGCACUACGGUGCUGAAGUGAUAAAUGCCCUGCUUCCAGGAAAAGCCUCUAAGCAUCAGGUAACACGAAAUCGUACCCCAAACCGACACAGGUGGUCAGGUAGAGAAUACCAAGGCGCUUGAGAGAACUCGGGUGAAGGAACUAGGCAAAAUGGUGCCGUAACUUCGGGAGAAGGCACGCUGAUAUGUAGGUGAAGUCCCUGCGGACGGAGCUGAAAUCAGUCGAAGAUACCAGCUGGCUGCAACUGUUUAUUAAAAACACAGCACUGUGCAAACACGAAAGUGGACGUAUACGGUGUGACGCCUGCCCGGUGCCGGAAGGUUAAUUGAUGGGGUUAGCGGCAACGCGAAGCUCUUGAUCGAAGCCCCGGUAAACGGCGGCCGUAACUAUAACGGUCCUAAGGUAGCGAAAUUCCUUGUCGGGUAAGUUCCGACCUGCACGAAUGGCGUAAUGAUGGCCAGGCUGUCUCCACCCGAGACUCAGUGAAAUUGAACUCGCUGUGAAGAUGCAGUGUACCCGCGGCAAGACGGAAAGACCCCGUGAACCUUUACUAUAGCUUGACACUGAACACUGGUCCUUGAUGUGUAGGAUAGGUGGGAGGCUUUGAAGCGUGGACGCCAGUCUGCGUGGAGCCAACCUUGAAAUACCACCCUUUAAUGGCUGGUGUUCUAACGUAGACCCGUAAUCCGGGUUGCGGACAGUGUCUGGUGGGUAGUUUGACUGGGGCGGUCUCCUCCCAAAGAGUAACGGAGGAGCACGAAGGUUGGCUAAUCCUGGUCGGACAUCAGGAGGUUAGUGCAAUGGCAUAAGCCAGCUUGACUGCGAGCGUGACGGCGCGAGCAGGUGCGAAAGCAGGUCAUAGUGAUCCGGUGGUUCUGAAUGGAAGGGCCAUCGCUCAACGGAUAAAAGGUACUCCGGGGAUAACAGGCUGAUACCGCCCAAGAGUUCAUAUCGACGGCGGUGUUUGGCACCUCGAUGUCGGCUCAUCACAUCCUGGGGCUGAAGUAGGUCCCAAGGGUAUGGCUGUUCGCCAUUUAAAGUGGUACGCGAGCUGGGUUUAGAACGUCGUGAGACAGUUCGGUCCCUAUCUGCCGUGGGCGCUGGAGAAUUGAGGGGGGCUGCUCCUAGUACGAGAGGACCGGAGUGGACGCAUCACUGGUGUUCGGGUUGUCAUGCCAAUGGCACUGCCCGGUAGCUAAAUGCGGAAGAGAUAAGUGCUGAAAGCAUCUAAGCACGAAACUUGCCCCGAGAUGAGUUCUCCCUGAGACUUUAAGUCUCCUGAAGGAACGUUG